rnacentral:lncRNA from 1 species
AUGAAAUCAGGAAAGAUAAUCAAAAAAGCCCAGGAAGAGGAAGGGAAAGAAAAACAUCGGACCACAGACAAGUUUCUGAAAGUCCAAGCAGAAGAGGGGAAAAAGAGAAGAAAAAAGAUCAUAAAUCCAGCAGUAAAGACAGGGAGACGAGAAGAAAUUUGGAAAAAGAUGACAAGCAUAAUAGAAGCAAGACCAAGAAAAGAGGCAAAUCUAGAAGCCAUAGUAAAAGCAGAGAGAAAUCCAGAAGUAAAGAAAGAGACUCCAAACACAGCAGACAUGAUGAGAAGAGAAGAUCAAGAAGCAAAGAGAGGGACCGUGAGAAAGACAGAGAAAAAGAAAAGCACUAUGAUUCUAGAGGGAGAGAUAAAGAAAGAAGUAGGAGUAAAGAGAGGAACAGAAGGGCAGGUUCAAGAAGUAAUGAACAUGACCAUAGGAAGAGUAAAGACAGGGAGAAACAUAAAUCAAGAAGUAGAGAGCGUGAGCAUGCUAGAGGAAAACAUAGCUCCAGCAGUAGAACAAGGGAACGAAGCAAAAGCAGAGAUAGAGGUAGAAGGGGUAGAUCAAGAAGCAGAGACAGAGAUCGCAGUCGAAGUAAAGAAUAUUCAAGGAACAGGGAUAGAGAAUCAAGAAGAAGACGAUCAAGAAGCAGAGAAAGGAGAGGUACACCAGAUAGAUACAGAGGAAGAGAAAAUAGGAGGAGGAGAAACUCGAGGAGCUCAGAAAGAGAGGAAAGUCAGAGCAGAAACAGAGAAAGAUACUCAAAUAGAGAAAGUAGAAGCUCAUAUAAGAGGAAUGAUAGUGAAAGCCAAAGGAAGAGGCAUUCAAAAAGCCGUGAAAGUAGCAGUCCUGAAUCCAGUAAAGGUAAGAAGCCUAGUAGAGAUCAAGAUAGAAGUCCAGAUUCAAAAAAGAGACCAAGUAGCAAAGAAAGAGAAUCAAAAUCGUACUCACACAGAAGUAAUGAAAAGGAAAAGACCAGAUCCUCAGCUGAAAAAGAAAUUAACCAAAAAUCAGAGAGUCAGGACAGAGAUCAUGCCCAUACUAAGGAUAAAAAGUCUGAUCGAGAAACAAGUCCUGGAACAGAUGAUGACAGGCAUGGAUGAGUGUUUGGACUUAAUGUUUCCAUUGUCUCAAAGUUUUAGAGACGUUUUGAGGAACGCCUUUUUUUAA